CUCGUGCAAGGAAGAGGAAGGACCCUCGUGCGACGACCUGCAUCGGCUCAGCCUCUUGGGCUGAGAGACCCUCGUGCAAGGACCCUCAUGGGUGUGCAAGGACCCUUGUGCGAGGCCGUACGAGGACCCUGGGGGUGUGCAAAGGCCCCCGUGCAAGGCCCACGGGCGUGCAAGGGUUUUUGUGGGCCUACAAACCCUCUAGUGCGAGGCCACGGGGCCGUGCAAAAACCCUCCGGGGGGCAUACAAAGACCCUCGUGGGCGUGCAAGGACCCUUGUGCGAGGCUGCGGGUGUGCAAGGAUCCUUGUGCGAGGCUGUGGGUGUGCAAGGACCCUUGUGCAAGGCUGCACAAGGCCCCCGUGGGUGUGCAAAAGCCCUCGUGCAAGGCUGUGGGUGUGCAAGGACCCUUGUGCGAGGCUGUGGGUCUGCAAGGAUCCUUGUGCGAGGCUGUGGGUGUGCAAGGACCCUUGUGCAAGGCUGCACAAGCCUCCCGUGGGCGUGCAAAAGCCCUCGUGCAAGGCCAUGGGUGUGCAAGGCCCCUUGUGGGUGUGCAAAGCCCCUUGUGGGCGUGCAAGAACCCUCGUGCGAGGCUGUGGGUGUGCAAGAACCCUCGUGCAAGGCCACGAAAGGCCUCGUGGGUGUGCAAACACCCUCGUGCGAGCCCGAACACCCCCCCCCCGCACUAGUAACCCCUUGCA
rnacentral:lncRNA from 1 species